rnacentral:rRNA from 1 species
AAAUGAAUAGACGGGGACCCGCACAAGCAGCGGAGCAUGUGGUUUAAUUCGAAGCAACGCGAAGAACCUUACCAAGGCUUGACAUCCCCUUGACCGGUACAGAGAUGUGCCCUCUCCUUCGGGAGCAAGGGUGACAGGUGGUGCAUGGUUGUCGUCAGCUCGUGUCGUGAGAUGUUGGGUUAAGUCCCGCAACGAGCGCAACCCUUAUUCUUAGUUGCCAGCAAGUUAAGUUGGGCACUCUAAGGAGACUGCCGAUGAUAAAUCGGAGGAAGGUGGGGAUGACGUCAAAUCAUCAUGCCCCUUAUGUCUUGGGCUACACACGUGCUACAAUGGUCGGUACAACGGGUAGCGAAGGAGCAAUCCGGAGCAAAUCUCAAUAAACCGAUCCCAGUUCGGAUUGUAGGCUGCAACUCGCCUACAUGAAGUCGGAGUUGCUAGUAAUCGCGAAUCAGAACGUCGCGGUGAAUGCGUUCCCGGGUCUUGUACACACCGCCCGU